UACGGAGGGUGCAAGCAUUAAUCGGAUUUAUUGGGCGUAAAGGGCGCGUAGGCGGGGAUAAUAGUCAGAUGUGAAAUCCUGGGGCUCAACCUCAGAACUGCAUUUGAAACUGUAUCCCUAGAGGAUAGGAGGAGAAAACGGAAUUCCACAAGUAGCGGUGAAAUGCGUAGAUAUGUGGAAGAACACCGGUGGCGAAGGCGGUUUUCUAUCUUAUUCCUGACGCUGAGGCGCGAAAGCAAGGGGAUCAAACAGG
rnacentral:rRNA from 1 species